CUAGGCUUUUCUGAACGCUGCCUGACCCUCAAGGCUCCAUUCUGGGCCCUCCUCCUCCAGGAAGACCCCCGGGCUAUCCCAAGACAGGCCAUCAGUCAUGACUCCUUGGGUAUUGGGCCAGAGUCCAGCCUCUGCUGACAGCAGAUUGGGGCCAGCCCUUGCUCUCAGCCCAGCUACCAAGAAAGAAAAGCGGCCCCUGGUGGCCAGGAGCUGGCGGCCACAGCUGGACCCUGGUGUCAUUCACAACACCACUCUCUGACCACUCUGUAAAGUGUGUGAACACAGAUAAAACAUAGUCAUUGUCCAAACCACAAAAAUGACCAAACUCCCUUUCCUGGCUAAUAUGAGUGACUGCUGCUUCUUUAUUAGUGACCAUCAUUCCUGCCUUCUCGAUGAGAACUCCUAUGAUACCGACUCUUAGAAUGCUGAUUCUAAGCCAGCCUCCCGCUGUCAUCUAACCCAGAGCAAAGCCUGUUUCCUCAAACCCUUUCCCAAAUCCCCUAACACCAGCUUGAAUCUGUGAAGUCCUUUCCCACACACUCUUUCUGGGAUGCCCCGCAACUCCCAUGGUUGCAUCCCCCUUACUACAACGAGUCAAUAAACCCAGAAUAACUCCAA